rnacentral:rRNA from 1 species
UUGACCUCAAAUCAGGUAGGACUACCCGCUGAACUUAAGCAUAUCAAUAAGCGGAGGAAAAGAAACUAACAAGGAUUCCCUUAGUAACUGCGAGUGAAGAGGGAAAAGCUCAAAUUUAGAAUCUGGCAGUGUUUCAUUGUCCGAGUUGUAACCUAGAGAAGUGUAACCUGCACUGGACCGUGUACAAGUCUCCUGGAAUGGAGCAUCAUAGAGGGUGAGAAUCCCGUCUUUGACAUGGACUGCCAGUGCAUUGUGGUUGUGCUCUCAACGAGUCGAGUUGUUUGGGAAUGCAGCUCUAAAUGGGUGGUAAAUCC